AGUGAACGCUGGCGGUAGGCCUAACACAUGCCAGUCGAACGGCAGCACAGUAAGAGCUUGCUCUUACGGGUGGCGAGUGGCGGACGGGUGAGGAAUACAUCGGAAUCUACUUUUUCGUGGGGGAGAACGUAGGGAAACUUACGCUAAUACCGCAUAGGACCUACGGGUGAAAGCAGGGGAUCUUCGGACCUUGCGCGAUUGAAUGAGCCGAUGUCGGAUUAGCUAGUUGGCGGGGUAAAGGCCCACCAAGGCGACGAUCCGUAGCUGGUCUGAGAGGAUGAUCAGCCACACUGGAACUGAGACACGGUCCAGACUCCUACGGGAGGCAGCAGUGGGGAAUAUUGGACAAUGGGCGCAAGCCUGAUCCAGCCAUACCGCGUGGGUGAAGAAGGCCUUCGGGUUGUAAAGCCCUUUUGUUGGGAAAGAAAAGCAGCAGGUUAAUACCCCGCUGUCCUGACGGUACCCAAAGAAUAAGCACCGGCUAACUUCGUG
rnacentral:rRNA from 1 species